AACGCUAGCUACAGGCUUAACACAUGCAAGUCGAGGGGAAACGAUAUUGGAAGCUUGCUUCCGAUAGGCGUCGACCGGCGCACGGGUGAGUAACGCGUAUCCAACCUGCCCACCACUUGGGGAUAACCUUGCGAAAGUAAGACUAAUACCCAAUGACGUCUCUAGAAGACAUCUGAAAGAGAUUAAAGAUUUAUCGGUGAUGGAUGGGGAUGCGUCUGAUUAGCUUGUUGGCGGGGUAACGGCCCACCAAGGCGACGAUCAGUAGGGGUUCUGAGAGGAAGGUCCCCCACAUUGGAACUGAGACACGGUCCAAACUCCUACGGGAGGCAGCAGUGAGGAAUAUUGGUCAAUGGACGAGAGUCUGAACCAGCCAAGUAGCGUGCAGGAAGACGGCCCUAUGGGUUGUAAACUGCUUUUAUACAGGAAUAAAGUUAGCCACGUGUGGUUAUUUGUAGGUACUGUAUGAAUAAGGACCGGCUAAUUCCGUGCCAGCAGCCGCGGUAAUACGGAAGGUCCAGGCGUUAUCCGGAUUUAUUGGGUUUAAAGGGAGCGUAGGCCGUCUGUUAAGCGUGUUGUGAAAUGUAGAUGCUCAACAUCUGAAUUGCAGCGCGAACUGGCAGACUUGAGUGUGCGCAACGUAGGCGGAAUUCGUGGUGUAGCGGUGAAAUGCUUAGAUAUCACGAAGAACUCCGAUUG
rnacentral:rRNA from 1 species